rnacentral:rRNA from 1 species
GAUGAACGCUGGCGGCGUGCCUAAUACAUGCAAGUCGAGCGAACAGACGAGGAGCUUGCUCCUCUGACGUUAGCGGCGGACGGGUGAGUAACACGUGGAUCACCUACCUAUAAGACUGGGAUAACUUCGGGAAACCGGAGCUAAUACCGGAUAAUAUAUUGAACCGCAUGGUUCAAUAGUGAAAGACGGUUUUGCUGUCACUUAUAGCUGGAUCCGCGCCGCAUUAGCUAGUUGGUAAGGUAACGGCUUACCAAGGCAACGAUGCGUAGCCGACCUGAGAGGGUGAUCGGCCACACUGGAACUGAGACACGGUCCAGACUCCUACGGGAGGCAGCAGUAGGGAAUCUUCCGCAAUGGGCGAAAGCCUGACGGAGCAACGCCGCGUGAGUGAUGAAGGUCUUCGGAUCGUAAAACUCUGUUAUUAGGGAAGAACAAAUGUGUAAGUAACUAUGCACGUCUUGACGGUACCUAAUCAGAAAGCCACGGCUAACUACGUG